AUGUAUGAGGAUGUUGUAAAGUGGCGAUUCACGGGCUUUUAUGGUCAUCCGAACUGGAACGAACGUCAUUUAUCUUGGGAUGAUAUUCGUAACUUACAUAGUAAGGGCGACCACCCUUGGGUGGUUUUGGGGGAUUUUAAUGAAAUUUUAUAUUCCUCGGAAAAGGAGGGCGGUAAUGCGAGACCAAAUGGAAUGAUGCGGGACUUCCGUGAAUGCCUUAUGGACUGUGGGCUGGAAGACUUAGGUUAUAUGGGCGAUCCUUUUACUUGGAGUAGAGGUGAAAUCCGAGAGCGUCUCGAUCAGGCAGUUUGCAAUGUAGGGUGGGCACAUAAAUUUCCUCGUGCAGCGGUGAUUAAUGAAGAACAUGUUGUUGGGGAUCGUAGCAGAAAUUUAAAAUUUUCUACGCAUCACCAAGAUCAAUCUAUGGAGUAA
rnacentral:rRNA from 1 species